UUUAUGUCUUUGUGUAUCAAUUAAUCUUUGUUAUUCUUCCCAUCUAAUUUUUUCUGUAUGCAAUUUCCCAUGACAAUUUUCCAUUUCCAAUUACAGCAUAUCUCAUAAUUUUCUUGGUACUUUACCAGAUUACAUCAAUUUCAAUUACUUCCUUCCAAUGCAUUUUCAUUUCCAAUACCAAUUUUUUCUUCAAAUAUUAAGAAAAAAGAAAUAAGAAAGUUCACGAGUUAUCUGACUCUUGACUUCCUAUAAUUCCUACAAUUCUAUCCUAAUAUAAAAGUAACCUAUUCACAUGUUGGAAGUAUGUGUUUUGGUAGAAAAUAUUUUUUUGAUCUGUAUUUUACCUUUCUUGACUAUAUCUAACUCAAUGGCAUCUGAUCUGACAUUUGAUGAAUAUGACUUGGUAGAAAAUAUCAACGACUCUCAAGAAACUUGGUGCAUUGUAGUGAGGGUAUUUAGGAAGUGGCCUUUAUUCCAGAGAAAACCUCCAUACAGCACUUGGAACAUGUCCAUCAUAUUGAUGGAUGAGAAGGUAUUCUGUAUUACUUUUCCUUUUGUUGGUGCGAAAUUACUUGAGUAGGAUUGUAAUAUAGACACUUAUGUUGCAUAGUGACGUUUAAUGUAUUAUUUUCCUGAUCUGUAUAGGGAAGCUAGAUUCAAACUUUAUUACAAUCCAAAUAUCUCCUCAAACAAUUUGAAAGUGAACCUGCUGAAGGAAGUGUUUACUUCAUUGAGAAUUUUGGGGUUGUUCCAAAUACAGAAAACAAGGCUAUCACUCAUCCUUGAAAGAUUAACUUUCAUGCAAACACAUUUGUCCAAAAGCAUCAGGCUGACAUUCCUACCUAUGGCUUCAACUCUGUCCCUAUUCAUGAGAUUAUUAGUAAAGCUGACACUAAAAAAUCCAAAACAAAUAUUGAUCAUUUAGUUGGUAUUUCCCACUUUAAUCAUGUUCUGCAUCUGAUGAAUAUUGAUAUGGUACUAUUAUUAACUUUCACAAUUUCCAAUCACAUUUUUUGUUACUAUUUCAGAUGUCUUUGGUUUUUUUACAAGGAUUUGGACACAUUCAAGAACAUUAAGUCCGGACUAGAACAAAACUCCAGGAUUUCAUUCACAAUUGCUGAUUAACACAAAGUGAAGUUGUUAUAAAGUACAAAAUUUUGAAGCUGGAGACUGCAGAUGGAUGGUAUUAUGAUGGUCGUCGUCCUUGUGAUGCAAAACCAAGAAAAGAUGAGAAUGACCAAUCUUUUUGUUGCACCUGUAAAUUGAAGAACCCAGUUUUAGAACCAAAGUAAGAAGAAGUAGACAGACUAACACAUACAAUUAUUCCUUCAUUUUGAAGUUCAUUUGUGUACAAACUAAUUAGAUGACUGGUGCUUCUUCACAUUUGUUAGGUUUAGAGUUCAUUACACUGUAAGUGACUUCUCUGGACAUUGCUCAGAAGUAUUUUUCAAUCGUCUUGCUGUGGAGCAUUUUGAAAAAACUACUUCUGACCUCCUUACUAUGUAAAAAAAGGUUAGAACAUAGAAAGUAUAUGUGUUUACUUGUAAUUGAUAAAAUUUUUAUCCCAAACAUUAUAAUGGAGUAAAAUUAUUAGACCACUUUUAUUUCCAACAAAUUUGUUAGUUGUAGGUGAUGCUGGAGAUAUGAUAUUGCGUCUUAAAUUUGGAAAUGUCAAAGGAAUCAUAGUUUUGUCUUAUGUAUAGACCAUCUUAAUCUUUAUGCGAUAAUGAAAAAUGAAUUUUAAUAUUACAGGGAAGACCAUCUUCAUUUCCAAGAAUUCUUAACAAGUUAGUUGGCAAAGAAAUGGUAUUGAUGCUUAAAGUCACUGAUUACAAUAUUUAAAACCGUUCUACUAGUAUUAGUGUCUCCCAACAAUCUGUAGAUGAAGAAAUUGUUAAUAGUUUUACAUACACAUAAACUCAGGUACAUUUCUAUCAGUUUUAAGAUUAUGUUUUAUGAAUAUUACUUUCAUCAAAUUAAUUACUAAUUACUCUAUUAUGUGAUCUCCAUGUAUCAAAAAGUUGGUUAAUCUAAGUGAAGAUGACCAAAUUCAGCUUACUCCUUCUCCACAUCCUGUAUCUAAUGGCAUCAUCUUUACUCCUUUUGAGUCAUCUGUAUCGAAGAAAGUUCUUUAGCAUUCUAAGCUGGAUGAUGAAGAGUUUUCAACUCCUAAGAUAGCUAAUCCUUUUGACACCAAACACAAAAACAGGUUGAACAUCGUGCAUAUGUCCUUAGAAGAAGUUGGUGUAGGGAUUGGUGCCAUGUCCACACCCAAUUUUAGCUCCACUAAAAAUCCUCGAUUUAUCAAGAAAGAAAAGUGACUUAUUCUGUAGUUUGAUAGGAUUUGUCUCCUGUUAUCAUUUUGUUUUAUUUUGCUGUCCUUGAUUUCAUUUACUUUGUCAUUUCAGUUAUGUUGUUCUCACUUAAGACUUUGUUCCUUUGUCAGAACCAUCAAUUUGCUUUGUCUUUUCAAUUAUGUGCUUUCAG